UAUACUCUUAUAAGUAUUGGACCCUCCGUACUCAUAAGUUGUUUGUGAUGUUGGGGCUUCCGAAUUGACGAUUCACAUUGUUAAACAUGAUCUAGAUUAUUUGAAACUUCUAGAAAAUAAAUUUCGUAAUUUUUCGAAUAAUAAUAAAGUCCAUCAAACGAACAUAAAAUGAAUGGUCAAAAUCGAACGACGUCCUGGAAAUGGAUGAUCGGAUCCUUCAAUUUAAGAUUGGAGUUAUUGAUCUUUAUCUAGGUAGUGAACAUAAUUUUCUAUCAAAAAUUCAACCUAUUCCAAUUCUUUUACAUUGUUAAACUAGCAAGUUUUCCAUACCGAUCGUUAAAAAUUGUCAAUUUUGUGAGUUUCUGUUCGUCAGGUAAAUGAUGUCGAAAAAUUAUGAAAUUUGAUUUUUAGAAGUUUUAAAUGCUUUAGAUAAUGUUUAGCGGUAUAGAUCGUCGAUUCGAAAGCUCUAUCAUCAAAAAUAAUUUGUGAAUACGAGGGCGAUCGUACUCAUAAGAGUAUAAUAGCCGAACUAUAUAUAUA
rnacentral:lncRNA from 1 species